rnacentral:rRNA from 1 species
CGCACGGGUGCGUAACGCGUGGGAAUCUGCCCUUAGGUACGGAAUAACUCAGGGAAACUUGAGCUAAUAUCGUAUAAUGACUCCGGUCCAAAGAUUUAUCGCCUAAGGAUGAGCCCGCGUAGGAUUAGCUAGUUGGUGAGGUAAAAGCUCACCAAGGCGACGAUCCUUAGCUGGUCUGAGAGGAUGAUCAGCCACACUGGGACUGAGACACGGCCCAG